CGGGACGGGUGAGUAAUGUCUGGGAAAACUGCCUGAUGGAGGGGGAUAACUACUGGAAACGGUAGCUAAUACCGCAUAACGUCGCAAGACCAAAGAGGGGGACCUUAGGGCCUCUUGCCAUCGGAUGUGCCCAGAUGGGAUUAGCUAGUAGGUGGGGUAACGGCUCACCUAGGCGACGAUCCCUAGCUGGUCUGAGAGGAUGACCAGCCACACUGGAACUGAGACACGGUCCAG
rnacentral:rRNA from 1 species